GAUGAACGCUGACAGAAUGCUUAACACAUGCAAGUCGACUCGAGUCUUCGGACUUGGGUGGCGCACGGGUGAGUAACGCGUAAAGAACUUGCCUCUUAGACCGGGACAACAUCUGGAAACGGAUGCUAAUACCGGAUAUUAUGGUUUUUUCGCAUGGAGGAAUCAUGAAAGCUAGAUGCGCUAAGAGAGAGCUUUGCGUCCCAUUAGCUGGUUGGUGAGGUAACGGCCCACCAAGGCAAUGAUGGGUAGCCGGCCUGAGAGGGUGAACGGCCACAAGGGGACUGAGACACGGCCCUUACUCCUACGGGAGGCAGCAGUGGGGAAUAUUGGACAAUGGACCGCAAGUCUGAUCCAGCAAUUCUGUGUGCACGAUGACGUUUUUCGGAAUGUAAAGUGCUUUCAGUCGGGAAGAAGUCAGUGACGGUACCGACAGAAGAAGCGACGGCUGAAUACGUGCCAGCAGCCGCGGUAAUACGUAUGUCGCAAGCGUUAUCCGGAUUUAUUGGGCGUAAAGCGCGUCUAGGCGGCUAGGAUAGUCUGAUGUGAAAUUGCUGAGCUCUAUCCCUUAUGGCGUUGGAAUCUGCCUUACUAGAGUACUGGAGAGGUAGGCUGGAACUGCAGUGUAGAUGUAAAAUUCUUAGAUUUUGUAGGAAUGCCGAUGGGGAACCCAGCCUACUGUACAUAUCCUGACGCUUAUGCGGUUAUGCUUGGGUUGCCAUCAGGAUUAUAUACCUAUAUGGUCAUGUGUUAUUUCUCAGUGUUGGUUCUUGUGUUUGAUAUGGUGGACCCAGUGUUGGGUAUGAGAAAAAUAUUGUUAAUGUCUUUAUAUAUAUCUUCUGUUAUUUUCUUUGUUUCUGCACCUUGUCGCGUGUUCCUCUCCCCUUUCCUAUAUCUGUUAGUUUCUGUGUUCUAUGUCUUUCUUUAUCUCUCCUGUGCUGUUUCACCUGACAUAUCGUAUACAUCAUUACUGUGUCCCUCCAUCUCCCCUAUGCUCUCUCCCCAUGCCCCCCUUCCGCCUGCCCCUGCCCCUAGCCCCUAACUAUCCCCUCCAUCCUGUCCCUCCUACCCCUAUAGUACACUACCCUCCCUUCCCUGCUAUGCCUUCUGCUGUUACUGCCUUUAGCUUGCCUUGCUAUUUCUUGCUAGCCGCUGAUUGCUCUAC
rnacentral:rRNA from 1 species